rnacentral:rRNA from 1 species
AGUGAACGCUGGCGGUAGGCCUAACACAUGCAAGUCGAACGGCAGCACAGGAGAGCUUGCUCUCUGGGUGGCGAGUGGCGGACGGGUGAGGAAUACAUCGGAAUCUACUCUGUCGUGGGGGAUAACGUAGGGAAACUUACGCUAAUACCGCAUACGACCUACGGGUGAAAGCAGGGGAUCUUCGGACCUUGCGCGACUGAAUGAGCCGAUGUCGGAUUAGGUAGUUGGCGGGGUAAAGGCCCACCAAGGCGACGAUCCGUAGCUGGUCUGAGAGGAUGAUCAGCCACACUGGAACUGAGACACGGUCCAGACUCCUACGGGAGGCAGCAGUGGGGAAUAUUGGACAAUGGGCGCAAGCCUGAUCCAGCCAUACCGCGUGGGUGAAGAAGGCCUUCGGGUUGUAAAGCCCUUUUGUUGGGAAAGAAAUCCAGCUGGCUAAUACCCGGUUGGGAUGACGGUACCCAAAGAAUAAGCACCGGCUAACUUCGUGCCAGCCGCCGCGGUAA